AUUGAAACGUCAGUUCCAGUACAAUCACCGAAGUUAAGCAACAUCAAGCUAGGUGAGUACCUAGAUGGGUGACCAUUUGGGAAUACCAGGUGCUGUAAG